ACACGGGGGGAGCAAGCGUUAUCCGGAUUUACUGGGCAUAAAGAGCGUGUAGGCGGGGCGAUCAGUCAGAGGUGAAAUCUUGCGGCUUAACCGUAAACCUGCUUCUGAUACUGUCGCUCUUGAGUUCGGAAGAGGGAAGUGGAAUUCCUGGUGUAGCGGUGAAAUGCGUAGAUAUCAGGAAGAACACCAGUAGCGAAGGCGGCUUCCUGGUCCGUAACUGACGCUGAGACGCGAAAGCGUGGGAAGCAAACAGGAUUAGAUACCCUGGUAGUCCACGCCGUAAACGAUGGGUACUAGGUGUUGGAGGCUUUGACCCCUUCAGUGCCGCAGCUAACGCAUUAAGUACCCCGCCUGGGGAGUACGGUCGCAAGACUGAA
rnacentral:rRNA from 1 species